AAUGCGCAGCUACCAUGCAGUCGACGGUAACAGGAAGCAGCUUGCUGCUUCGCUGACGAGUGGCGGACGGGUGAGUAAUGUCUGGGAAACUGCCUGAUGGAGGGGGAUAACUACUGGAAACGGUAGCUAAUACCGCAUAACGUCGCAAGACCAAAGAGGGGGACCUUCGGGCCUCUUGCCAUCGGAUGUGCCCAGAUGGGAUUAGCUAGUAGGUGGGGUAACGGCUCACCUAGGCGACGAUCCCUAGCUGGUCUGAGAGGAUGACCAGCCACACUGGAACUGAGACACGGUCCAGACUCCUACGGGAGGCAGCAGUGGGGAAUAUUGCACAAUGGGCGCAAGCCUGAUGCAGCCAUGCCGCGUGUAUGAAGAAGGCCUUCGGGUUGUAAAGUACUUUCAGCGGGGAGGAAGGCGAUAAGGUUAAUAACCUUGUCGAUUGACGUUACCCGCAGAAGAAGCACCGGCUAACUCCGUGCCAGCAGCCGCGGUAAUACGGAGGGUGCAAGCGUUAAUCGGAAUUACUGGGCGUAAAGCGCACGCAGGCGGUCUGUCAAGUCGGAUGUGAAAUCCCCGGGCUCAACCUGGGAACUGCAUUCGAAACUGGCAGGCUAGAGUCUUGUAGAGGGGGGUAGAAUUCCAGGUGUAGCGGUGAAAUGCGUA
rnacentral:rRNA from 1 species